rnacentral:rRNA from 1 species
GAUGAACGCUGGCGGCGUGCCUAAUACAUGCAAGUCGAGCGAACAGACGAGGAGCUUGCUCCUCUGACGUUAGCGGCGGACGGGUGAGUAACACGUGGAUAACCUACCUAUAAGACUGGGAUAACUUCGGGAAACCGGAGCUAAUACCGGAUAAUAUAUUGAACCGCAUGGUUCAAUAGUGAAAGACGGUUUUGCUGUCACUUAUAGAUGGAUCCGCGCUGCAUUAGCUAGUUGGUAAGGUAACGGCUUACCACGGCGACGAUGCGUAGCCGACCUGAGAGGGUGAUCGGCCACACUGGAACUGAGACACGGUCCAGACUCCUACGGGAGGCAGCAGUAGGGAAUCUUCCGCAAUGGGCGAAAGCCUGACGGAGCAACGCCGCGUGAGUGAUGAAGGUCUUCGGAUCGUAAAACUCUGUUAUUAGGGAAGAACAAAUGUGUAAGUAACGAUGCACGUCUUGACGGUACCUAAUCAGAAAGCCACGGCUAACUACGUG